CCUACGGGUGGCAGCAGUGGGGAAUAUUGGACAAUGGGGGCAACCCUGAUCCAACCAUGCCGCGUGUGUGAAGAAGGCCCUCGGGUUGUAAAGCACUUUCAGUGAGGAAGAACGCCUGGUGGUUAAUACCCAUCAGGAAAGACAUCACUCACAGAAGAAGCACCGGCUAACUCCGUGCCAGCAGCCGCGGUAAUACGGAGGGUGCGAGCGUUAAUCGGAAUUACUGGGCGUAAAGCGCGCGUAGGUGGCUUGAUAAGCCGGUUGUGAAAGCCCCGGGCUCAACCUGGGAACGGCAUCCGGAACUGUCAAGCUAGAGUGCAGGAGAGGAAGGUAGAAUUCCCGGUGUAGCGGUGAAAUGCGUAGAGAUCGGGAGGAAUACCAGUGGCGAAGGCGGCCUUCUGGACUGACACUGACACUGAGGUGCGAAAGCGUGGGUAGCAAACAGGAUUAGAUACCCCUGUAGUC
rnacentral:rRNA from 1 species